rnacentral:rRNA from 1 species
UAGGGAAUCUUCGGCAAUGGACGGAAGUCUGACCGAGCAACGCCGCGUGAGUGAAGAAGGUUUUCGGAUCGUAAAGCUCUGUUGUAAGAGAAGAACGAGUGUGAGAGUGGAAAGUUCACACUGUGACGGUAUCUUACCAGAAAGGGACGGCUAACUACGUGCCAGCAGCCGCGGUAAUACGUAGGUCCCGAGCGUUGUCCGGAUUUAUUGGGCGCAAAGCGAGCGCAGGCGGUUAGAUAAGUCUGAAGUUAAAGGCUGUGGCUUAACCAUAGUAGGCUUUGGAAACUGUUUAACUUGAGUGCAAGAGGGGAGAGUGGAAUUCCAUGUGUAGCGGUGAAAUGCGUAGAUAUAUGGAGGAACACCGGUGGCGAAAGCGGCUCUCUGGCUUGUAACUGACGCUGAGGCUCGAAAGCGUGGGGAGCAAACAGGAUUAGAUACCCUGGUAGUCCACGCUGUAAACGAUGAGUGCUAGGUGUUAGACCCUUUCCGGGGUUUAGUGCCGUAGCUAACGCAUUAAGCACUCCGCCUGGGGAGUACGACCGCAAGGUU